rnacentral:rRNA from 1 species
UACGGAGGGUGCAAGCGUUAUCCGGAUUCACUGGGUUUAAAGGGUGCGUAGGUGGGUCUGUAAGUCAGUGGUGAAAUCUCCGGGGCUUAACCCGGAAACUGCCAUUGAUACUAUAGGUCUUUGAAUUAUCUGGAGGUGAGCGGAAUAUGUCAUGUAGCGGUGAAAUGCUUAGAUAUGACAUAGAACACCAAUUGCGAAGGCAGCUCACUACGGAUAUAUUGACACUGAGGCACGAAAGCGUGGGGAUCAAACAGG